UUGAACGCUGGCGGCAUGCCUUACACAUGCAAGUCGAACGGCAGCACGGGGGCGACCCUGGUGGCGAGUGGCGAACGGGUGAGUAACGCAUCGGAACGUACCCGGAAGUGGGGGAUAACGUAGCGAAAGUUACGCUAAUACCGCAUAUUCUGUGAGCAGGAAAGAGGGGGAUCGCAAGACCUCUCGCUUCCGGAGCGGCCGAUGUCGGAUUAGCUAGUUGGCGGGGUAAAGGCCCACCAAGGCGACGAUCCGUAGCGGGUCUGAGAGGAUGAUCCGCCACACUGGGACUGAGACACGGCCCAGACUCCUACGGGAGGCAGCAGUGGGGAAUUUUGGACAAUGGGGGCAACCCUGAUCCAGCCAUGCCGCGUGAGUGAAGAAGGCCUUCGGGUUGUAAAGCUCUUUCGGCCGGAACGAAAUCGGCAGUGUGAAUAACGCUGCUGGAUGACGGUACUGGAAGAAGAAGCACCGGCUAACUACGU
rnacentral:rRNA from 1 species